UAAAUAAGCAAGCAUGGACUUCGCUCCAUUGUAAGUUCAGUCUCACCCCUGCAGAGCACAGUGUAACAUCACAGGAGCACAAUGUAGCUUAGAAUGGGAUCCCAUAGACAUACGUUUGGUCUUCUAGCACUGCAGCAGUGUUUAGGGAAUUGACAUUUGGCCAGUUAUGCCUAACUAAUGCUACAAUAAUGGAUCUCCUAUCUUGCCUUGUAUGGGGGAAAGUGCAUACCAUAUAUAUGAUCUAAGGAACUGCAUCUGAGGUAUAAUUAGGGCUGCCAUACAUCCAGAUUUUCCCAGACAUUACUGGGAUUUCAAAAGUGGAAUUGACAUCCUGGGGGAAUUUCUGAGAGGCAGUGCUUUGUCCUGGAUCUUAGGCAAGUCAAUCAAAAAAUUGUGCGGGUUUUUUUGUAACAACUUUUGGGGUGUCCUGGUUUUUCCUUUUUGAGUAUAAUCAGCUGGAAAAUCUUAAUAGUACAUAUUUAUGUUAUGUCUACGAGUCUUCGUGUUUUUUUCAAUUUUGUAUAUUUUAGUGAAUGGUGGAGAGGGACUGGGCCAUUGUAAGAACUGCCGUGUUGAAAUAAACCAUGGUCCUUUCAUUAAUCUAGAAAUAUGUUCUAAAGAUAGGCCAGGUCAGUGACAGAUUUACCCAGAAGGUCUGUAGCUCAGUGAUAGAGCAUCUGCCAUGCAUACAGAAGGUCCCAGGUUCUUUUCCUCAAUAUCUGAGAGAGACUCCUGCCUGGAACCCAAGAAAGCCACUGUCCAUCACUGUAGACAUUAAUGAGCUACAUGGACCAAUGGACCCAUUUAAGACAGUUUCUUAUGUUUUCAGCUUUUAAAUGACUUAGGUGACACGGGCCUUUGUUUUUUAAAUCUCUUAUUCAUUUUCAGGGUGCAGCAAGUUCUGUGUCUUUACCUCCCAUCUUACUGGUUUUCUGUUUCACUUUUUGUAGGUGGGAUACCUCAGAUAGCAAAGCAUGAGACUCUUAAUCUCAGGGUUUGAGCCCCACCUUGGGCAAAAGAUUCCUGCACUGCAAGGGGUUGGACUAGAUGACCCUUGGGUUACCUUCCAACUCUACAAUUCUAUGAUUCUGAGUGUUUUUCACAUAGUUAUUAUACACCACUCAGAGAAUUUUCUGUUAUGGAGAGGCAGCAUACAAAUGCCCUAAAUAAUUCCACACAUGGCAAAGCCUGGUAUUCAAAAGGUCUACUGGUUCUGAACACUGAACUGCAUCAGUCCAUAGAUCUAUGGGAAAUUUUCAUAGAUCUGUAGAAUGGGGCAUUGCAUUUUAUGUAUAUUUAAAUGGUGGGUGGUCACUACCGAUGGGAGGAGAACAUCAGUACAUAACAGGAGCCAAACCUGUUCAAACCUCAUUCAAAAGUGGCACCUUGUCCUGCUGCCCCCAGUUUAAACGGCCAGCCAGGGACUCAGCAAGCUGACAUAGCUGGAGCAGGCUAACCUGGGGCCCUUCAGAGCAACUGGGGCCCUUGACAUCCAGCUGGUGCUGGAUAUGCCAAUUUUUUUAAUCAGAUGGCAGCUUUUCAAACAAUCAAACCAUAGAACAGUCAUCCCCAGUGCAGACAAUAGCAAACUCAUGCUGCCUGUGUGUGUGUGUUUUGUACAGCUUCCUUCCUCUUUCUCAGCUCCCCUUCUUUUUCCAGAGCAGCAAGAAAGCAAUUUCCUUUCUUCCAAACAUUAUUUAUACAUUUAUUUCCCCCCUCCAAAUCUACAUGCAUACGUUUUCUACUACAAAUAAUCUCUCUCUCUCUCUCUCUCUUUUAAUGAGCAUGUAAAAGUUCAAGAGUGCGAUCUUUUUGCGUUAUUUUAACUCUGGCACAAAUUUAAUUUCCCAUCAUCAGAUGGGAACAGGUUUAUAUUGCAUGAGGGGUUCAAAAGGGCUUUCUUUCAGCGUCAGCCCCUUUGCAAGAGUUUUUGCGCGCUCUGCACUAAUGAAAGGGCAAUGGGGGGAAAAACAACAGCCACCCCUCCGUCUGCGUCACAGAUUUCAACCCUUCGAAAAAAUUCCACUGCGGUCACAGGGUUACAUGAGAGGCCCCUUUAAUCAUUAUUACAGUUUUAUGAAUGGUGUGCUUUACUCUGAUAUUUUACUACACAUCACUUCUUAACAUGCUCCAUUGAAAUUGGGGGGUGGGGGGAGAGGAGAAGAAGAAGAAGAAGAGAGAGAAACAAAAGACUUUGUGUAUUUGAAAGACCCUGUGGUUACGAAACGUCAUUGUAAUUAUACUGUGACACCCCCCACCCAGCUCCUCCAAUCCUCAGAGCCCGCUUGGUUUUUGACAUCCUUUGGUUCGAAUUCCAUUGAAGCCGGAAGAUGCCUGAACAAAUACAGAGUUAAGGCCUCAGGAUUUUACUGUAUGUGAGGAAUUGUUUUCACUGAUACGUUUAGGCUGCGACCCUCCAGCAGGGGAGGGAGGGGGAAAGAACCAAAGGCAGUUGAAAUGCCCCAUCCAACGCUCUUCUGAGCCCAUGCCGGCAAGGCGGAUGUAAGGACAGAACAGCGCUUUUGCACAUCCCAUCUCUUUAUCUCUUUUGUGUUCUAACAGUUUCCCUCCAAUUGGAAACAAUGGCAGGAAAACACAGUGCCGCAGCUCCAGAGCUGUAUUAUCCCACAACUGCAAGAAAUCAAUCUUUUAGUGUAGCGGCACCCACUAUCAAUAUCAGACAGGCACCUUCACUUUGUAUUCUUUUUGGCACUUUUGAAAAACAUUAUUGUUUAGACAAGCCUACCUAGUUCUCUAGGAUGCUGCCGUGUUCUUAGUUUAUUGCUGGUUUUUAGUUUUCUGAGUGUUUUAAUUGUUUUGAUUGAAAAUGCCAUUGUCUUAUUAUCUUUGUCAACUGCUUUGAGGCUUUUUUACAAUCAAACGGUAUAGAAAUUUUAUGAAAUAAAUAAAGAGAUCCUCAUCAUAGUGCCAGUAGCAAUGAAAAUAGAUUUAUACCCCAUCUUUACUCCAAGGAGUAAAGUGAUGCACAUGGUUCUCUCUCCCCCACCCCCCCACCCCAAACUUAUCCUUAAAAUAAACCUGUGAGUUAGGUUAGGCUGAGAGAAAGUGAUUUACCUAAAGUCAUCCAGUGAAUGUCAUGGCUAUGUGGGAAUUUGGGUCCUAGUCUCCUAGUUUGAUGCUAUGAUCACUGCACCCCACUGGCUCUCUCAACUGGCUGUUUCUUUUCUUAUUUCCUUUUCUUUUUUUUCAGUGGUAGGGUACAUGCUUUGCAUGCAGAAAGUCCUAGAUUCAAUACCCAGCAGUUCCAGGUAGGGCUGGGAGAGAACCCUACCUGAAACAAUGGAGAGCCACUGUCAGUCAUCUUUUCUGACCUGGUAUGUGGCAACUUUCUAUGAACAUUUCUGAAUACAGAGGUGGGAAUGCAGCAAUCAUGGGAUAAGGGUGGGAGCUCAGCCAGAAAAGAGUCCCACCUACUCCAGACAAACCUUACCUCCAUGAAGGUGUGCUAUGAAGAAAUAUGACCCAAUUCAUCCAAUAUGCUACAGGGUUCUGAGAGGAUUCAUGGCCCUGGACCAAACGUGAGAUCACCUGCCACCAGAUCGAAUGUUUUCAGCUGACAUCCACAUACUCCCGUCACCCCCCUUUCUUGGCAACCCAGGGUGUGAAAUAGUUGUAGCCUUUGCCAAGAGGCAGGGGGGAAAGAGGAUUUCUGUGAUGCAAAAUGUCUGGGGAAUCUCUGAGGACAGGAUCACAUUAUCUCUUGUUAAAAUAUUAUGGAAAUCAAACAUCAUUGUUCAUUAGGGUCAUCUGUGUUUUAUUUAUUGGCUCAGGGCUGACUGCAAGCUGUGAAGGGAUUUUUAAAAUAAAAUAAAAAUUGAAGCAUUUGGCUAUUUCAUAAUCUCUUUUCUCUGCUUUCUCCAGGUGAGCUCCAGAUCCAACCACUUUGAGACUUUCAUAGAUUUUUUGAAAAUGAACAGACAGGAAUGUUUUAGGCUGGGCCUGUUUCCAGAUUUCUUUUGCAUAGCGUGAGUUGAUGGCUUGGAAGGUAGUGAAACCUCCCUCUUCUUUUUCUUUUCUUCUCUCCUUCCUUUCAAAAAGAAUUGAACUCAUAAGCAUGUUGCUUCUCUUUUAUCUCUCUUACCCAAAUCCCCCUCCUCGCAAGGAAACACAAUUUUCAUAAAACGGGAAGUAAUUACCAGCUACAAGGUUGUUGUUUAAAAAAGAAAAGAUGGACAAUUCUCCCGUAUAACAUAUUGUAUCUGUAGCUGUAGGGCACAGUUUCUGACCUAGCCUAUCUUCACAGAACCAGUUCCUAAGUACACAAGAAGAGCCUACUAGAUCAAGCCAAGGCCCUGUCUAGUCCAGCAUCCUGUUCUCACAGUGGCCAACUCAAAGCCGCUACGAGGACCCAAGUGCAACAGUGCUACCCUCACUUGUGAUUCCUAGCAGCUGGUACUCAGAGGCAUAGUGCUUAGCCAGCAUGGUGUAGUGGUUAAGAGCGGUGGACUUGUAAUCUGGUGAAUUGGGUUCCCUUCCCCACUCCUCCACAUGCAGCUGCUGGGUAACCUUGGGCUUGUCACACUUCUCUGAAGUCUCUCAGCCUCACCCACCUCACAGUGUUUGUUGUGGGGGAGGAAGGGAAAGGAGAUUGUUAGCUGCUUUGAGACUCCUUAGGGUCAUGAUAAAGCGGGAUAUCAAAUCCAAACUCCUCUUCUUCUUCUUCCAUAUGUGGAGGCGGAAUGCAGCUAGUGUUGUAUCUGGUGGCCACUGACAGCCUUAUCCUCCAUUAAUUUGUCUAAUCCUCUUCUAAAGCCAGCCAAGUCGCUGGACCUGGACGUCUCGAUUCCAUCUUGUGAGAGCAAACUCAGCUAUGCACAAUGCGAAGAAGUACUUUCCUGGGUCUUCCAACAUUCCGUUCCAUGGAAUAAUUCCUAGUUCCAGUAUUGGGGGGGGUUGGGGGGUUGGGAGAGAGAGAGAGAGAGAGAGAGAGAGAGAGAGAAAUGUCUACCCCAGUAGUAGCUGGUGAGGUGGGGCACCAUUACACUCCUGGCUUCGCAACAUAGUGGGCUGCUGGUGCUUACCGAGGCCAAGGGGGAGUUAUGCGGUGUGGGGAGCUUGGCAUGGUGGCAACAUCGGAUUGGCUCCACUGCGCUGCUCCACACAAGCUCCCUGUGUCCUGUCCCUCAUAUCUCCCUCUCAAUAAGCUCCAGCAACCCACUGUGUUGGGAAUCUGGAAGAACAAUAGUGCCCAAUCUGUGCCACCUCACAGGGUACUACUGCUCUGUCCACUUUCUCCAUGUCACGUAUAAUUUUAUACACCUCUAUCAUGUCUCCUCUUACAUGCCUUUUCUCUAAGCUGAAAAGCCUCAAACAUUCUAACUGUCCCUCAGAGGGGAGUUUCUCCAGCCCCUUGAUCAUUUUUGUGGCCCUUUUCCUUUGGCUUAGGCCUAUGCAACUUGUGAAAUGGCAGAAGGGGAAGCCUCCAACCUGCUCUGGGAAUGAGUCGCCAAUUUGCAUUUUUCUCUUUUCUUUCUUUCUUUCUUUCUUUCUUUCUUUCUUUUUUUAAAAAAAAUAUAUCCUGCUUUUAUUUAUAAGCUCAAAGGGUUGUGAGGUAGGGGGGGCUUACUAAAAAGUUCACUGCGUACAUAAAUCACAGUCAAAACAGUCCAAAUGACUAAAAUUGGUUUCAUACGAUAAAACCAAUAGCAGAAUAAAAUGAAGUUCAGUGUAACAGAGGGAGAUAGCUAAGCCAGCUGUGUUAAAGGCUUUAGCUUCUUAUCUGAUGCUUAAAAGUGAGGGAGCCAAGCCAACCCCUCUGGGGAAUUUACACUUCCACUCCCCAGCCACUGCAAUACAAAAGUUUAGUAAAUCUUUGAAGAAUUACCAGGAUUGGCUUCUGGUUUGAAGGCACCACUGCCAAAACACCUUCAGGUGGAUCCUCUCUUACCUCCGGUGCCACUACCCUUGCUCUAUCAUGGCUUUACUAGAUUAAGGUGGCAGACAGCAGCAACGGCUCCCAAUGGAGCCACCUCUGAAAUUUCACACAGGGGUUCCUAACACCCCCCCACCCCACCCCCGGUGUCGACAGUAUUGAGCAAAAUGGACCCAAGGGCUGACUCAGUAGAAGACAGCUUCCUAUGUAGUCCUGAACUUCUUGUUUGUUAACCUGUUGCCAUACUAAGCAUUGCUCCAUUCCUUCAAAGGGUGAGUCUGGGUGAAGACAGGUAGCCGUUUUGCAGAGUGGUAAUUUGCCACUGUGUGCAUGCAAACUGCUUAAUAAACUGGUUGCUUGUUUACACAAGAGAUGAAAAGACUCUUGCCACUCCCUUCUUCCCUAGUUUUCUCAUUAAGCUAAAGAGCUUGGUCAGGUAGAUGGAUACCUGUAAGUCUUCCCUUGAUUUGAGGAAAUGCUUCUACUUGAACCAAACCCACAAUUUCAGCCUGAUUUUCAUUUCAGGUGGAAUUGGGAGUGGAGGGGCCUUCACCGAGUACAGACCUUCCACUGGAGCAUCCCUGAAAACAUCUAGUUUUGUGUUAAAAUGUUGAUCUGAAAAUUGGAUUGUUAACCCUGGAGCUAAUCCUUAAGUAUAUCGAGUCCCCAUCAACAGCUGUAUGCCCAGGCCCAGG
rnacentral:lncRNA from 1 species